rnacentral:rRNA from 1 species
AGCGAACGCUGGCGGCAGGCCUAACACAUGCAAGUCGAACGAACCUUUCGGGGUUAGUGGCGGACGGGUGAGUAACACGUGGGAACGUGCCUUUAGGCUUGGAAUAACUCAGGGAAACUUGUGCUAAUACCGAAUGUGCCCUUCGGGGGAAAGAUUUAUCGCCUUUAGAGCGGCCCGCGUCUGAUUAGCUAGUUGGUUGAGGUAAUGGCUCACCAAGGCGACGAUCAGUAGCUGGUCUGAGAGGAUGAUCAGCCACAUUGGGACUGAGACACGGCCCAAACUCCUACGGGAGGCAGCAGUGGGGAAUCUUGCGCAAUGGGCGAAAGCCUGACGCAGCCAUGCCGGGUGAAUGAUGAAGGUCUUAGGAUAGUGAAAUUCUUUCACCGGUGACGAGAGUGACGGUACCCGGAGAAGAAGCCCCGGCUAACUACGUG